rnacentral:rRNA from 1 species
CCUACGGGAUGCUGCAGUCGAGAAUCAUUCACAAUGGGGGAAACCCUGAUGCUGCGACGCCGCGUGGGUGAAUGAAGGUCUUCGGAUUGUAAACCCUUGUCAUGUGGGAGCAAAUUAAAAAGAUAGUACCACAAGAGGAAGAGACGACUAACUCUGUGCCAGCAGCCUCGGUAAUACAGAGGUCUCAAGCGUUGUUCGGAAUCACUCGGCGUAAAGCGUGCGUAGGCUGUUUCGUAAGUCGUGUGUGAAAGGCGCGGGCUCAACCCGGGGACGGCACAUGAUACUGCGAGACGAGAGUAAUGGAGGAGGAAGCGGAAAUCUCGGGGUAGGAGGGAAAUGCGUAGAUAUCGAGAGGAA